rnacentral:rRNA from 1 species
GACGAACGCUGCGGCGUGCCUAAUACAUGCAAGUAGAACGCUGAAGCUUGGUGCUUGCACCGAGCGGAUGAGUUGCGAACGGGUGAGUAACGCGUAGGUAACCUGCCUGGUAGCGGGGGAUAACUAUUGGAAACGAUAGCUAAUACCGCAUAAAAUGGAUUAUCGCAUGAUAAUUCAUUGAAAGGUGCAAAUGCAUCACUACCAGAUGGACCUGCGUUGUAUUAGCUAGUUGGUGGGGUAACGGCUCACCAAGGCGACGAUACAUAGCCGACCUGAGAGGGUGAUCGGCCACACUGGGACUGAGACACGGCCCAGACUCCUACGGGAGCAGCAGUAGGGAAUCUUCGGCAAUGGACGGAAGUCUGACCGAGCAACGCCGCGUGAGUGAAGAAGGUUUUCGGAUCGUAAAGCUCUGUUGUAAGAGAAGAACGAGUGUGAGAGUGGAAAGUUCACACUGUGACGGUAUCUUACCAGAAAGGGACGGCUA